AGUGUCCUUGGGCCAUUGUCCUUGGACGGGGCCCUGAUAAGGCCACCCAACAGCCUGGAAUCCCGGGAGCCCACGCUGGGUUUAAGUGACACUUCUCUAGAUGAAGGGUUAAUAGAGGACUUGACUAUAAAACAAGGCUGUGGAGCAACUGCCAGAUCUGCACAGAUCAAAACAAACCCUCCAGGAGCUCACACAGAACCAGGUUGUAUUGUCAGACACACUGGAACAAGAGAUUUCAAAAUUUAAAGACUGUCAUUCUAUGUUGGAUAUUAAUGCUUUGUUUGCUGAGGCUAAAUACUAUCCUGCCGAGUUGGUGAAUAUAAGAAAAGAGAUGCUGAUGCUUCAUGAAAAAAACAUCAAAUUUUUAAAAAAAGAGCACAGGCCAGGCAUGGUAGCUCAGGCUUGUAAUCUCAGCACUUUGGGAGGCUGAGGUGGGCGGAUCACUUCAGGUCAGGAGUUCGAGACCAGCCUGGACAAUAUGGUGAAACCCCAUCUCUAAUAAAAAUACAAAAAUUAGCUAAGCGUGGUGGUGCAAGCCUGUAGUCCCAGCUACUUGGGAGGCUGAGGUAGGAGAAUCUCUUGAACCCGGGAGGCGGAGGUUGUAGUGAGCCGAGAUCGUGCCACUGCACUCCAGCCUGGGUGACAGAGCAAGACCCUGUCUCAAAAAAAAAAAAAAAAAAAAAAAAAAAGGACUUAAACUGCAGCAAAGGAGGCAAAAAAGAGUUGGAAAAAGAGCAGCAAUGA
rnacentral:lncRNA from 1 species